rnacentral:rRNA from 1 species
CAGUAGCCACGGGAAUACGUAGGUGGCAAGCGUUGUCCGGAAUUAUUGGGCGUAAAGCGAGCGCAGGCGGUUAGAUAAGUCUGAAGUUAAAGGCUGUGGCUUAACCAUAGUACGCUUUGGAAACUGUUUAACUUGAGUGCAAGGGGGGAGAGUGGAAUUCCAUGUGUAGCGGUGAAAUGCGUAGAUAUAUGGAGGAACACCGGUGGCGAAAGCGGCUCUCUGGCUUUUAACUGACGCUGAGGCUCGAAAGCGUGGGGAGCAAACAGGAUUAGAGACCCCUGUAGUCCCUGUCUCUUAUACA